AUUUUGGAGACCUAAAGGCUAAAAAUGGCUCCUGGUGGGCUGGGCAGAGAAAUGAGGAAGGAUUCUUUGCAGCCCAGCUACAGAAUAACUCCAGUUUGGCCUCCGGUCACAACUGAGACUUCACUGAUCCAGUGAUGUUGUGAUUCUCCAGGACAAGAAACAUCCUGGGAGAACAAACAUCUGCUCAGUUCCUCAUUGUUCUUGGACUGAUUAACAUCUUGUUUGCCGGAGAUGUACUGAACUCUCUGCAAGCCUUCCGUUACACCUUGUUUAUCCCAAUGUGAACUAUUGAACUCUCUGCAAGUCAUUUGUUACAUUUGUUUCUCCCGAUGUACUGAAUAAAAGGUGUGGUAAGCUGGGGGCUUUGUCUUUGCUGCCCAGAGCAGCACUGAUCAGAACCAAAGCUCAG
rnacentral:lncRNA from 1 species